AGUGAACGCUGGCGGUAGGCCUAACACAUGCAAGUCGAACGGCAGCACAGUAAGAGCUUGCUCUUACGGGUGGCGAGUGGCGGACGGGUGAGGAAUACAUCGGAAUCUACUUUUUCGGGGGGGAUAACGUAGGGAAACUUACGCUAAUACCGCAUACGACCUACGGGUGAAAGCAGGGGAUCUUCGGACCUUGCGCGAUUGAAUGAGCCGAUGUCGGAUUAGCUAGUUGGCGGGGUAAAGGCCCACCAAGGCGACGAUCCGUAGCUGGUCUGAGAGGAUGAUCAGCCCCAUUGGAACUGAGACACGGUCCAGACUCCUACGGGAGGCAGCAGUGGGGAAUAUUGGACAAUGGGCGCAAGCCUGAUCCAGCCAUACCGCGUGGGUGAAGAAGGCCUUCGGGUUGUAAAGCCCUUUUGUUGGGAAAGAAAAGCAGCAGGUUAAUACCCCGCUGUUCUGACGGUACCCAAAGAAUAAGCACCGGCUAACUUCGUG
rnacentral:rRNA from 1 species